UAUUCUCAAACCCACCUUAGAGGUGGGCUUUGGAUUUGGAGGUCUUUGCAGAUUUAUUAUAAUAAAUCUGCUCCUCUUGAAUAUAUUAGCUGGAAACCUUUGUUAGGCUGGCUUCAGUGUGAUAAUUGUCUACGCUGUAGUUGUCUAGCACUCGUAUAGGAUUUCGCUUCUAAUUGUCAUUAGACAAAUUAUGAC
rnacentral:misc_RNA from 1 species